AUUAUUCAAUUUCAUUCAUUAUGUCAUGUAAACUCAAAAUUCUAAUUCUCUAUUCACUGUGCUGAUGCCAAAAGGUGAAAACAAAUCCAGCCAGCUUUUCUCUUUCUCAACUUUUCUUUGCCUUGGGACGCCUGGUGACGCCUCGCCUAGGCACCUGGGCAGUGCCUAGUUGAAGGCUCCUCGACUGGAGGCUUCCUAGGCAAGGUGCCUAGAUUUCGCCUCACCUGGCGCCUCUUGACAACACUGAGCCUCAACAGCUUUCCUGAAUUUAUCAGGCUCCAUUUUCGGUUUUGUUGUAAUGCUAGCUGAGAAACUUGUAUAAAAACUUGUUGCUUUUAUUCAAAGUCUUGAUGCAUUCGUUGUGGAAGUCAAUAGCUUGUUAAUGCCUGUUACUCGAUUAAACUACAGUCCCAAAAUUGAUGGACAUUUUCAUGAAUCCUUAUUGUUAUUCUGCUCUCCUUAGGGGCAACUUUUCCUUAGGUGGCCAUGAUAUUAAGUUAGAUUUUAACAUUCAACCAAAAUCUUUUUUGUCUUUCUUCUAUACACCCUACUACCUUAAUCUACCCACUUAUCCACACAAACGCAUCAGUAGGUUUAUAUUGGAUAUGGCUGUUGAAUUUUGGACCCAAGAGUGUAAAUAUCAAACUGGCAGAUUACAUGUUGAAUUGGGCUCACCAUCACUAAAAUGGUUUAAGCCAUUUUGAUUUGGUUUGCUAACACU
rnacentral:misc_RNA from 1 species